UAGGUACUCCCUCCGUCCGGAAAUACUUGUCAUUCAAAUGGAUGUAUCUAGAUGUAUUUUAAUUCUAGAUACAUCCAUUUUCAUCCAUUCUGAUGACAAGUAAUUCCGGACGGAGGGAGUAGGUA
rnacentral:pre_miRNA from 1 species